GAUGAACGCUGGCGGCGUGCUUAACACAUGCAAGUCGAACGGAAAGGCUCCUGCUUGCAGGGGUACUCGAGUGGCGAACGGGUGAGUAACACGUGGGUGAUCUGCCCUGCACUUCGGGAUAAGCCUGGGAAACUGGGUCUAAUACCGGAUAGGACGAUGGUUUGGAUGCCAUUGUGGAAAGUUUUUCGGUGUGGGAUGAGCUCGCGGCCUAUCAGCUUGUUGGUGGGGUCAUGGCCUACCAAGGCGUCGACGGGUAGCCGGCCUGAGAGGGUGUACGGCCACAUUGGGACUGAGAUACGGCCCAGACUCCUACGGGAGGCAGAGGUGGGGAAUAUUGCACAAUGGGCGCAAGCCUGAUGCAGCGACGCCGCGUGGGGGAUGACGGCCUUCGGGUUGUAAACUCCUUUCGCUAGGGACGAAGCGCAAGUGACGGUACCUGGAGAAGAAGCACCGGCUAACUACGUG
rnacentral:rRNA from 1 species